rnacentral:rRNA from 1 species
GGACUACUGGGGUUUCUAAUCCUGUUCGCUCCCCUAGCUUUCGCGCCUCAGCGUCAGAUGCCAGCCAGGACACUGCCUUCGCCUUUGGUAUUCCUCCGGAUAUCUACGCAUUUCACCACUCCACCCGGAAUUCUAUGUCCCUCUCUGGCCCUCAAGUCCAGCAGUUUUGAAAGGCCUUCCCCAGUUAAGCCGGGAACUGUCACUCUCAACUUGCUGCACCGCCUGCACGCCCUUUACGCCCAGUAACUCCGGACAACGCUCGCCCCCUACGUAUUACCGCGGCUGCUGGCAC